CUGAUGAAAUAACGCGUAAAGCCAAUCUAAGAUUGACUAAAGAGCUUAGAGUCCCCUUCGUCUAGAGGCCUAGGACAUCGCCCUUUCACGGCGGUAACAGGGGUUCGAAUCCCCUAGGGGACGCCACUUUAGUGAUUUAGAAAGGCAGUGCAUCACGCUUUUAGUGUUGCGCACUGUUUGUGCUUUACACAAUAAUGAUUAAGCCAAUUCAGUGAGUUGGUUUACCAAUUAUGCUCUUUAACAAUCUGGAACAAGCUGAAAAUUGAAACACACAUUAUUGAAAAAAUAGUGUGGAGAACUCUCAAAACUCCAAUCAGUUGGGUUUUUGUUGUCAUGAUGAAGCGUUAUGAGCGAGCAGUCAGCAAUUCGAGGCGGCCAGCGCACAGCAAGCGCAGCGUACUAAAGUACGUGAGCAUUGCGCGCACACUGCCCAACAAAGAAUUGGUGAACGCGCAGCCAUAACCCAAGCAAGACAGUAGAAGACUCCUUCGGGUUGUGA
rnacentral:misc_RNA from 1 species